CUACGGGGGGCUGCAGUGGGGAAUAUUGGGCAAUGGGCGCAAGCCUGACCCAGCAACGCCGCGUGAGGGAAGAAGGUUCUCGGAUUGUAAACCUCUGUCCUUGGGGACGAAGAAAGCGACGGUACCCAAGGAGGAAGCUUCGGCUAACUACGUGCCAGCAGCCGCGGUAAUACGUAGGGAGCAAGCGUUGUCCGGAAUUACUGGGCGUAAAGGGUGCGUAGGCGGCAUAUUAAGUCAGGUGUGAAAUAUUCGGGCUCAACCCGAAGGGUGCAUUUGAAACUGGUAUGCUUGAGUGUGAGAGAGGAAAGUGGAAUUCCUAGUGUAGCGGUGAAAUGCGUAGAUAUUAGGAGGAACACCAGUGGCGAAGGCGACUUUCUGGCUCAUAACUGACGCUGAGGCACGAAAGCGUGGGUAGCAAACAGGAUUAGAUACCCGGGUAGUC
rnacentral:rRNA from 1 species